CAGUCUGCAGCGUCGUUGGAUUGUCUGGGACUCAUGGACUCCGCCUCCAACCCGUCGCUAGGUAACCCAGCCCCUCCCUCUCCGCUCCACUCUUCAUCACAGUCUACAGCAUCCUCAGCCUGGAGGGGACUCGAGGGGGCACUGCUAGCAUCCUCAGCCUGGAGGGGACUCGAGGGUUCACUGCUCGCAUCCUCAGCCUGGAGGGGACUCGAGGGUUCACUGCUCGCAUCCUCAGCCUGGAGGGGACUCGAGGGUGCACUGCUAGCAUCCUCCAGUAUCCUUCGGAUGUCCUCUUUCAGUUGGUGUAACCAAGACGUUCCCUGCUCCUUUAAUUUAAUUGAAUCAGUAUUGUCCCACAUUUCCUCCAUGAUUUUACGCCGCAACGAGCGGUGAUCCAUUGCUUUAAGUUCAGAUCCAUCAUGUCCAUGAUGUUCACACAGGUAACGUAAAUUGUCCUCAGUCAAAUUCCAUAAACUCUUUUCAAUUUCAUCCAUCAACACUCCCUCCUCUCGAUUCAUUUUGUCCCCGCAGAGUUUGAAUGUUUCUUGGUAAAAGGAGCAAUAAUAACUGGUUAUUGAAUGGAGCUGCAACAAGUGUGAGGUGUCUCUCUCCUGUGUCAAAUCAAAUGUUAUUUUUUUCACAUGCGCCAAAUACAACAUGUGUAAACCUUACAGUGAAAUGCUUACUUACAACAUGUGUAAACCUUACAGUGAAAUGCUUACUUACAAGCCCUUGACACUCAUUUUCUUAAAACUGCAUUGUUGGUUAAGUAAAAAAUAGAGAACUCAUAUCUGGAGUUGUCAUAACACCAUAUCUUCUUCCUGUCACCAGAGCAGUGGAAUCUCCUUGUGAGGUCCCCUGUGGAAUCUCCUUGUGAGGUCCCCUGUGGAAUCUCCUUGAGAGGUCCCCUGUGGAAUCUCCUUGUGAGGUCCCCUGUGGAAUCUCCUUGUGAGGUCCCCUGUGGA
ensembl:lncRNA